CUUGAUUUUCCGGCGUUUGACGGGGGAAAUCCGCAAUUCUGGAGAACCAGAUGCGAGAAAUACUUUGAUGUGUAUGGUGUGCAGCCAGAUCUGUGGGUUCGCGUCGCUACCUUACACUUCACGGGUAGUGCGGCGCGCUGGCUGCAACUUCAGGAGUCUAGGAGUGGAUCGAUGCACUGGGACGAACUCUGUACAACCUUAGGCAUGAAAUUUGGGAGAGAGCAGUAUCAGGUGCACCUUCGGCAGUUCCGCCUGCUGAAACAAACUGGCACAGUGCACGAGUACAUGUUGCAAUUUGAGGAAAUCAUGCAUCACUUGUUAGCGCAUAACCUUGCUUUUGAU
rnacentral:rRNA from 1 species